rnacentral:rRNA from 1 species
GAUGAACGCUAGCGGCAGGCCUAAUACAUGCAAGUCGAACGAUAGAAGAGAGCUUGCUCUCUUCGAAAGUGGCGCACGGGUGCGUAACGCGUAUGCAACCUACCUUAAUCAGGGGGAUAGCCCGAAGAAAUUCGGAUUAACACCGCAUAAAAUCACAGUACAGCAUUGUACAAUGAUCAAAUAUUUAUAGGAUUAAGAUGGGCAUGCGUGACAUUAGCUAGUUGGCGGGGUAACGGCCCACCAAGGCGACGAUGUCUAGGGGAUCUGAGAGGAUGACCCCCCAAACUGGAAAUGAGACACGGACCAGACUCCUACGGGAGGCAGCAGUAAGGAAUAUUGGUCAAUGGAGGCAACUCUGAACCAGCCAUGCCGCGUGCAGGAAGACGGCCCUCUGGGUUGUAAACUGCUUUUAUUCGGGAAUAAACCUCAUUACGUGUAGUGAGCUGAAUGUACCGAAGGAAUAAGGAUCGGCUAACUCCGUGCCAGCCGCCGCAGUAA